UGGGGAAUAUUGGACAAUGGGGGCAACCCUGAUCCAGCAAUUCUGUGUGCACGAAGAAGGUUUUCGGAUUGUAAAGUGCUUUCAGCAGGGAAGAAGGAAGUGACGGUACCUGCAGAAGAAGCGACGGCUAAAUACGUGCCAGCAGCCGCGGUAAUACGUAUGUCGCGAGCGUUAUCCGGAAUUAUUGGGCAUAAAGGGCAUCUAGGCGGCCUGACAAGUCAGGGGUGAAAACCUGCGGCUCAACCGCAGGCCUGCCUUUGAAACUGUGAGGCUGGAGUACCGGAGAGGUGGACGGAACUGCACGAGUAGAGGUGAAAUUCGUAGAUAUGUGCAGGAAUGCCGAUGAUGAAGAUAGUUCACUGGACGGUAACUGACGCUGAAGUGCGAAAGCCGGGGGAGC
rnacentral:rRNA from 1 species